rnacentral:rRNA from 1 species
UGUACACACAAUGCAGCAAACCAGCGAACUGUUGUUGUCCCCCGAGGGGCCUCAUCCGGAGGUGAGGCCGUCGAUGGCGUGGAUCGGCCGAGAGGCUGGCCCGUGGGCAAGAUGGGGUUCUUCGCUGUCGACUGGAGUGCCCCGCACUUGGCGAUUCCUGUCGUCCGAGGCUAGCAUCCCCCCUGAUGGGGGGAAAGCAAGCUGAUGGCGGUUGGGGUCGGGCCCUCCCCUCCCCCUUUGUCCCCGUCUUUGGGGGCUCUGGGGCCGUUUUUCUUUCACAAGCACCUUGAGGAACAUGAAUGGAGAGACUGAGCUUGGGUUUCGGCACUGCCUUCGUGGGCGGUGUGGAGCUCGAGCCAAAAACCAAAAUAAUGACUCUCAGCAACGGAUAUCUUGGCUCUUGCAACGAUGAAGAACGCAGCGAAAUGCGAUACCUAGUGUGAAUUGCAGAAUUCCGCGAAUCAUCGAGUCUUUGAACGCAAGUUGCGCCCGAGGCUUGUCCCGAGGGCAUGCCUGCCUGAGCGUCACCGCACUCCCACCUGGAAAUACCUCUCCAGUGUGGAAAUGGCCGUCCGGGACCCAGCUUGGAAAAGCUAUGGGUUGCGGUCGGCUGAAAUGCAACGAUUUGGAUACAGCCGGGGGGAGAGGCCGCGAGAAGGUGAUCCGCUCCGUGCUGGGCGGAGUCUAAUUGGACAGCGCCUCUCCCGUUUGGUGAUCCGGUUGGCGACUAGGAGGGGGAGUCUUUUGAUUCCCUCCCCGCGUCGAUGGGGGGGAGAGAGUGGGGGAAAUUCUGCACUCCUUGUCUCCCUACGGCUUGGACCUCAGAUCAGGCAAGAUUACCCGC